rnacentral:rRNA from 1 species
GACGAACGCUGGCGGCGUGCUUAACACAUGCAAGUCGAACGGAAAGUCCCUGCUUUUGUGGGGUGCUCGAGUGGCGAACGGGUGAGUAACACGUGAGUAACCUGCCCUUGACUUUGGGAUAACUUCAGGAAACUGGGGCUAAUACCGGAUAGGAGCUCCUGCUGCAUGGUGGGGGUUGGAAAGUUUCGGCGGUUGGGGAUGGACUCGCGGCUUAUCAGCUUGUUGGUGGGGUAGUGUCUUACCAAGGCUUUGACGGGUAGCCGGCCUGAGAGGGUGACCGGACCCAUUGGGACUGAGAUACGGCCCAGACUCCUACGGGAGGCAGCAGUGGGGAAUAUUGCACAAUGGGCGGAAGCAUGAUGCAGCAAAGCCGCGUGCGGGAUGACGGCCUUCGGGUUGUAAACCGCUUUCGCCUGUGACGAAGCGUGAGUGACGGUAAUGGGUAAAGAAGCACCGGCUAACUACGUG